AGAGUUUGAUCCUGGCUCAGAUUGAACGCUGGCGGCAUGCUUUACACAUGCAAGUCGAACGGCAGCGCGGGCUUCGGCCUGGCGGCGAGUGGCGAACGGGUGAGUAAUACAUUGGAACGUGCCCAGUAGUGGGGGAUAGCUCGGCGAAAGCCGGAUUAAUACCGCAUACGACCUGAGGGUGAAAGCGGGGGAUCUUCGGACCUCGCGCUAUUGGAGCGGCCGAUGGCAGAUUAGCUAGUUGGUGGGGUAAAGGCCUACCAAGGCGACGAUCUGUAGCUGGUCUGAGAGGACGACCAGCC
rnacentral:rRNA from 1 species